UUCGUCUAGCGGAGAAUAGAGACAGCUAACAAAUGCUCAGGCUGGUGUUUGAAGUAUUGGAAUCUGCGGAUCAAGCUCAGUGGAGGGGAUGGUGGUGGGGAUUAGAUGAUGGAGAAGUUGAGAAGAGUGUUUUAUUUAUUCAAGAAACGUUUUCAGAAUGCAUGUAGUCGAAGAUCGGUACGCUGGGCAUGUAACGAUGAUGUAAGCAAUCUCUGCCCUCUAGGAGCUUACUGUUUAGAGUAAGGGCUGAGCAGACACAUAGGCGUAGAAUGACAACAGUCAAGAAACUUAUGGAAAGUCACCAUUUUGGAUUCUUAGCAUUCCCUCUGAAGAUAUUGCAAGAAAUUUGAUGAAACGGACAGUGUGUGCCAAGUCUAUAUUUGAACUAUGGGGUCAUGGACAAUCUCCUGAGGAGCUG
rnacentral:lncRNA from 10 species